CACGUAGGGGGCAAGCGUUGUCCGGAUUUAUUGGGCGUAAAGAGCUCGUAGGCGGUUCGGUAAGUUGGGUGUGAAACCUCCAGGCUCAACCUGGAGACGCCACCCGAUACUGCUGUGACUAGAGUCCGGUAGGGGAGCGUGGAAUUCCUGGUGUAGCGGUGAAAUGCGCAGAUAUCAGGAGGAACACCAAUGGCGAAGGCAGCACUCUGGGACGUGACUGACGCUGAGACGCGAAAGCGUGGGGAGCAAACAGG
rnacentral:rRNA from 1 species